rfam:Candidatus Nomurabacteria bacterium RIFCSPHIGHO2_02_FTLL_42_19 rifcsphigho2_02_scaffold_670, whole genome shotgun sequence.
UUUAUAAAAAUAUGUACGGAUAAAUUAUCACAACAGAAUAUCAUGAUUGGGGAAGUGAGGUGUAAAUCCUCCACAGUGCCGCUACGGUAAUCCUAAGUUUUCAAAAACAAAGGAAAGUCCGAGUACCAAUCAUGAAGUAAGUCCCGAG